CAUAUAGUAGCUUAAGUUUUUAAAGCGUUAAACUUUUAAUUUAAAGAUAAGGGAACUCUUUUAUAUGG
rnacentral:tRNA from 1 species